CUAUUCUCAAGAGUUCCUUCGAACACUUCACUGAAAAACCUGUCAAUAAUUUUUUUUACUGAAGUGUUUGGAGGAACUCCAGAUAAUAU
rfam:Brassica rapa chromosome A7, whole genome shotgun sequence.